UCUAUUCUAAUGUUAGGUAUUGUAUUGAGUUUAAUAAAAGAAAUGAUGGGACGGACCAUUGCGAAAUCAAUCAAAGCUAGCUAGUUAUUUACGCCUUGCAUUAUUUCAAUUAUUUUAGCGAUGUCGUGGUUACUGAACAGUAUUAUUUUAGUUGUUAUUUCAAAAUUGACACUAGCAGCUGUCAGUAAGGAAUAUCUUGAUGUGUUCUUACCAGGCGCGUCAGGAAAACCUACAUUCGGCACAAUGAGAGGGACAUGCUGGGGCCGUGGUGGUAUUUGCGUUCAUAUCAAGGAGUGUCCCUCACUAAAAAUGGAAACCUCAAUACCUGGCUGCGCAUGGGGGUUCAUGGUUUGCUGCAAAGUUAUACCAGUAGCACGUCCCUACGGCAGCGGCAGGAGGGGCAGACAAGUCCUCGUGUUCUCUAGUAAUAUGCAAGAAUUCGACACCAAUUCUAUCAAAGCCAUGGCGAUGAAAAAUUCAGAAGUGGUCCGAUAUACGACUUGAAUGUUUCGUGCAUUUAUUCUUUUGUACUGAGUUUGGAUCUUUAUUUAUUUAUAGUCACACUAUAGAUCGAAUAAAAGCUACAUGUUUAGAGGA